GGUUUUCGGACCUAGAGACCGGCGCACGGGUGCGUAACGCGUAUGCAAUCUACCUUUUACAGAGGGAUAGCCCAGAGAAAUUUGGAUUAAUACCUCAUAGUAUUAUUGAAUGGCAUCAUUUAAUAAUUAAAGUCACAACGGUAAAAGAUGAGCAUGCGUCCCAUUAGCUUGUUGGUAAGGUAACGGCUUACCAAGGCAACGAUGGGUAGGGGUCCUGAGAGGGAGAUCCCCCACACUGGUACUGAGACACGGACCAGACUCCUACGGGAGGCAGCAGUGAGGAAUAUUGGUCAAUGGGCGCAAGCCUGAACCAGCCAUGCCGCGUGCAGGAUGAAGCAUCUAUGGUGUGUAAACUGCUUUUGUACGAGAAGAAACACUCCUUCGUGAAGGAGCUUGACGGUAUCGUAAGAAUAAGGACCGGCUAACUCCGUGCCAGCAGCCGCGGUAAUACGGAGGGUCCAAGCGUUAUCCGGAAUCAUUGGGUUUAAAGGGUCCGUAGGCGGUUUUGUAAGUCAGUGGUGAAAGCCCAUCGCUCAACGGUGGAACGGCCAUUGAUACUGCAAGACUUGAAUUAUUGGGAAGUAACUAGAAUAUGUAGUGUAGCGGUGAAAUGCUUAGAGAUUACAUGGAAUACCAAUUGCGAAGGCAGGUUACUACCAAUAUAUUGACGCUGAUGGACGAAAGCGUGGGGAGCGAACAGGAUUAGAUACCCUGGUAGUCCACGCCGUAAACGAUGGAUACUAGCUGUUCGGAGCAAUCUGAGUGGCUAAGCGAAAGUGAUAAGUAUCUCACCUGGGGAGUACGUUCGCAAGAAUGAAACUCAAAGGAAU
rnacentral:rRNA from 1 species